rnacentral:rRNA from 1 species
ACGGAAGGCAGCAGUGGGGAAUAUUGCACAAUGGGGGAAACCCUGAUGCAGCGACGCCGCGUGGGUGAUGAAGUAUUUCGGUACGUAAAGCCCUAUCAGCAGGGAAGAUAAUGACGGUACCUGACUAAGAAGCUCCGGCUAAAUACGUGCCAGCAGCCGCGGUAAUACGUAUGGAGCAAGCGUUAUCCGGAUUUACUGGGUGUAAAGGGAGCGCAGGCGGUUUAGUAAGUUGGGUGUGAAAACCCGGGGCUCAACCUCGGGACUGCACCCAAAACUGCCAAACUAGAGUAUCGGAGGGGCAAGCGGAAUUCCUAGUGUAGCGGUGAAAUGCGUAGAUAUUAGGAGGAACACCGGUGGCGAAGGCGGCUUGCUGGACGAUAACUGACGCUGAGGCUCGAAAGCGUGGGGAGCAAACAGGAUUAGAUACCCUGGUA